rnacentral:rRNA from 1 species
UACGAGGGGUCCUAGCGUUGUUCGGAAUCAUUGGGCGUAAAGCGGGUGUAGGCGGAAAUGUAGGUCAGAAGUGAAAGUCCAGGGCUCAACCCUGGAAGUGCUUUUGAAACCCCAUUUCUUGAGUAUAGAAGAGGUGAGUGGAAUUCCAGGUGUAGUGGUGAAAUACGUAGAUAUCUGGAGGAACAUCGGUGGCGAAGGCG